GGCCCUAUGAUGUCAGAGGUGGUAGCAGCUUUAUUCCCAACUGAUGCCAAGUCAUAACCAAACCCACUUUCCGUGUCUUCGCGUGAGGACAAACACAGUCCAGAACCAGACGUAGCUAUCGAUGUGUAACUGAAGCCAGAUGUGGUUGCAGACAUGUGAGCUUGGUGGGGUCUGAGCAUAACAGCUGCAGAAGCAGAAGCAGGAGAUGGCGAAGGCUUGCUCAUAGUCACACCCAUUUGUGCUGCUUUUUGCAGCAAUGCAGUUGCAGACGUGUGAGGGGAGGAUGUGGG
rnacentral:misc_RNA from 1 species